GACGAACGCUGGCGGCGUGCUUAACACAUGCAAGUCGAACGGAAAGGCCCUGCUUGCAGGGUACUCGAGUGGCGCAAGGGGGUGUAACACGUGGGGGAACCGCCCUGCACUUCGGGGUAAACCUGGGGAACUGGGGCUCAAACCCGGGAUGAGCCCUUUUUAUGCUGGUGGGUGGUAAGUAUUUUUGGUGUGGGAUGAGCCCGCGGCCUCUUAGCUUGUUGGUGGGGUAAUGGCCUACCAAGGCGGCGACGGGUAGCCGGCCUGAGAGGGUGGACGGCCACAUUGGGACUGAGAUACGGCCCAGACUCCUACGGGAGGCAGCAGUGGGGAAUAUUGCACAAUGGGCGCAAGCCUGAUGCAGCGACGCCGCGUGGGGGAUGACGGCCUUCGGGUUGUAAACUCCUUUCGCUAGGGACGAAGCUUUUUGUGACGGUACCUAGAUAAGAAGCACCGGCUAACUACGUG
rnacentral:rRNA from 1 species